AGUUUUUAUAAAUUGUAGGGAAACCAAAAUUUUAAAAUCUUGAUUAGUAUGAAAACAAGUUUUUGAAAAACAAAAACCAAAAACUCUUACAAAAUCUACAAAACAUUCAAGGCCUAAAUUGUUUUUUAUUUGGAGAACACCAAUAUUACA
rnacentral:sRNA from 1 species